rnacentral:tRNA from 1 species
AGGGCAGUAGCUCAAUUUGGCAGAGCAGCGGUCUCCAAAACCGUCGGUUGGGGGUUCGAGUCCCUCCUGCCCUG